AGUCCCCAGCCUAGUUCUACCCAGUCACUAUUUCCAAACUCUUACAUUAGAAUGUGGCUAUGCCUCUAGGCUUGGGAUAUAAGAGAAAGAAAUAAAUGUAUUUCCCUACUCUUAUCCAAAUGGUGGUCUAGCCUCCUCGUAUGAUAUUUGUUUACCUUUUACAUUACAAACACUUUUAAAAUAGGAACUAUUUUUUGCCUUAUUUUGUAUGUUCUGUAGGGCCCACACCAUAAUUUUUCACAUAUUUUCUCAAUUAAUUUCCUAAAACAUAAUGUCGUAAAUAUAUACUGCUUUUUAUUUUGUGAUUAAACAUAAUUAUAUUCUCUGAUUUCUUGAUCAAUUCUUGAUUCCCCUACCCUCUGAGUCUGAUACAGCCAAAUUCAACCACAGCAUAUUUUGUUCUCAGAAACUUUUUUGGCAAUAACAAUCUUAAACAAAGCAGUUUCCUUUUUAGGAUGUGUAUUUUCAUGUUUGCUUCAUCUGUUGUCCAAUUACAUUAGCCAAUUAAUCUUAAAUUAGAUUAAUUAAGCCUCAAAUAAAAGACUUUUGUCAGGUGUCAGAAUCUGGAAUUAAAAACAGCAGAGCAUAGCUCAUUCAACAAAUGCCUUGGGUUUUUAGGUUAAUCUAGCAUAUAAACAUUGAGCAUGCAAACUACUAAAUCCACAGAGACCUUUAACAAAUACUUUAAUUCUAAAAGGGCCUUAUUUUCUAGAGCUGCAUAAAAAAUUUUCAUGUAUUUAGAUUUAUGUGAUUGUUGUUAUAUCCUAUACUUAUAUUUGUCUUUGGUUUAUAUUUAUUUACAGAGCCCUUAUCCAAUAGAUUGAAAGUGUUAGACUGUACUGAAGCCAUUUUUUUCUGUCAGGAAUUAUAGAAUUUUAAAUAGCCUCUUUUCCAUUUUUGUGAUCUGUGUUCACACCUCUAGUAAUAAUGAAGUAGAAAACCACUCUCUCAUUGUACUUCAUUGCUAAUCUCCAGAGUUUUCUUUUACCUUACCCCAAUAGCUUAUGUAGUACACAUUCCUUGUAGGGUAUUCAGUUUAUAUAUGUCAGAUUCUCUAGGGCCAUGGCUUUUGCCAGAUGAAGCACUUUUGAUUUUGAGGCUGAUGAAACACAGUGCAGUUAUUGAUCUGUGCAUGACAUAGCCUGUCUCUCUCCUAGCAGAGUGUAGCAACAUUUAUCCAGGAAUUUGUGAAAUGUCACUCGGAUCAUGUUCGCAAGGUAAACUGUGCAAAACCCAGGAUCUGAGCUGAGAAUCCAUGUGGAAUUGGACGUGACUGUCUAUUCCUACGUCCUAUCUUCUGGAUGAACCAAGUGAUAUUUGUUAACAGAAUGUCUGUGUCCUGUAUUAGACUUUGUAAGGAACUAUUAUUAUCACUUAGAAAAUUGUGUACUAUAAAAUCAUACUUCUUAUACUCUGUUUUCAGAUUCACUUCUGAUCUUAACCACAGAAAAUAUAAAGAUAAGAAUAUGUGACCUGAAUAGCAUCAGUUAGAAAUUUCUUUUCUGUUUAUAAAUGAAGCAAUGUUAUAAUAUAUUG